GGCAACCACUUCAACAGUUUGCUGAUGGGAUGGCAAUGCGGAAGGGUUUGACAUCGAAAGCCAGCAACAAGUUGGUGAUCACCUCCGUUGCCUUUCAAGACCACAUCACACGCAGCCUGCUUCAUCCAGAUGUCAAAUUCUCUGACCCUUUGCUGAAAUGCAAAAGAAAAUCACCCAGAAAAAGAGUGGAGAAGAGGGGAUUGGAGACACAAAAUCAGCAAGAAGACAAAGAAUAUGUGCUUGAUCCUGCUCCACCUCCUUUAACAUUAGCUCAGAAGUUGGGUUUGGUGGCCUCGCCUGCAGGGAGACUGACAGAGGACGAAUGGACUCAGGUCAAGACGAGGUCUGUUCAGCAGGGGGACUCAGCUCAGCCCUGUGCAGUAUGCAGGGAGGAGUUUUGCCUUCAGCCUCAGGUGUUGCUGUCUUGUUCACACGUUUUCCACAGAGCAUGUUUGCACGCCUUUGAAAGAUUUUCUGGGAGGAAGUGCUGCCCGAUGUGCAGAAAGGAGCAGUAUGAGACACGGGUGAUCCACGAUGCAGCUCGCCUCUUCAGACACCAGUGUGCCACCAGAAUUCAAGCAUGCUGGCGGGGCUAUGCUGCUCGAAAAAGAUACAGAAAAUUGAGAAAAUCCAUCUGCCCAAAAGACAAACAACUGCGACGGAAAUUCUUCGAAGCAAAGUUGCAGGAGUUGAAUGACAGCUUUGUCCGAUACUGUCACACCGACACGGAGGCUUUUCUGAGUGAUAUCAACCGCUCCCUGUCAUCAAGCAGACGAGUGUUCCAGCAGCUGGAGAGAAAGCACGUCUCCGAGCCUCAGGAGAGCGACUGGGACCGAAUACAGAGCCAGGUUAUCCAGAGAGACGUCUGGGACUGCCCCAUCUGCCUGACUGCGUUGUGCAGCCCGAGCCUCCUGACAGCAGCGGGUACAUCCGGUCAUCAACAACGCAGACGCACUGUGCUACUGUCCUGUUCCCACGUCUUCCAUCAGCGCUGUCUGGAGUCCUUUGAGGCCUUUUCUACGGAGAGCAGACCCUCUUGUCCCCUGUGCAGAUCUGUCUACCACAAAAAACUCAUCUAAACAGUUGGGGGCCAUGGCUUUGACCAAGAGACUGCCACUAUUUGCCACAGAAGAAACAAGGUUUUGGUGCCUUCACCGCAGGCUGUUGACUGACAUGGGAGGAUCUCCGGC